rnacentral:rRNA from 1 species
AACGGCCAUACCAUGCUGAAUAUAUCGGUUCUCGUUAGAUCACCGAAGUCAAGCAUCAUUGGGCGCGGUCAGUACUUGGGUGGGUGACCACCUGGGAACACCGCGUGUCGU